rnacentral:rRNA from 1 species
UAGGGAAUCUUCCGCAAUGGACGAAAGUCUGACGGAGCAACGCCGCGUGAGUGAUGAAGGUUUUCGGAUCGUAAAACUCUGUUGUUAGGGAAGAACAAGUACCGUUCGAACAGGGCGGUACCUUGACGGUACCUAACCAGAAAGCCACGGCUAACUACGUGCCAGCAGCCGCGGUAAUACGUAGGUGGCAAGCGUUGUCCGGAAUUAUUGGGCGUAAAGCGCGCGCAGGCGGUUCUUUAAGUCUGAUGUGAAAGCCCCCGGCUCAACCGGGGAGGGUCAUUGGAAACUGGGGAACUUGAGUGCAGAAGAGGAGAGUGGAAUUCCACGUGUAGCGGUGAAAUGCGUAGAGAUGUGGAGGAACACCAGUGGCGAAGGCGACUCUCUGGUCUGUAACUGACGCUGAGGCGCGAAAGCGUGGGGAGCGAACA